rnacentral:tRNA from 1 species
UGAACGGUAGCCAAAAGGUAAGGCAACAGGCUUUGAACCUGUGAUUUUGUAGGUUCGAUUCCUACUCGUUCAA